GACGAACGCUGGCGGCGUGCCUAAUACAUGCAAGUCGAACGCAGUGGGGACGGGUGAGUAACACGUGGGUAACCUCCCAUCAGAGGGGAUAACACUUGGAAACAGGUGCUAAACCGCUACUGAUGGAUGGACCCGCGGUGCAUUAGCUAGUGGGUGGGGUAACGGCUCACCAAGGCCACGAUGCAUAGCCGGCCUGAGAGGAUGAUCGGCCACACUGGGACUGAGACACGGCCCAGACUCCUACGGGAGGCAGCAGUGGGGAAUAUUGGGCAAUGGACGAAAGUCUGACCGAGCAACGCCGCGUGAGUGAAGAAGGUUUUCGGAUCGUAAAACUCUGUUGUUAGAGAAGCGGUAUCUAAACAGAAAGCCACGGCUAACUACGUGCCAGCAGCCGCGGUAAUAC
rnacentral:rRNA from 1 species